GUGUAAUCAUCUACCACCGGUAAAAUCUACACUAAUUCUUCUGGUCUACACAUUAAGUUAUGAAGCUACAAAGUUAGAGGAGAAAAGAAUUCCGAAAAUUAAUCUAAAAAUCAAGUUUACCCAGAAUCUUACCCAACCCUCUCACCCUAGCCUAGUUUGCCACGACUUGGUCCCACCUGGCAGCCUCUCCAGCUCGCCCUUCCUCUGUCCCUCAUCCUCAGCCGACCAAGAAACACAGAGAGGGAGAGAUCGAGAGCCGACCGAGUCCUGGACGCGUCGACGCGUGGUGACGACGUGUCGACGCCUUCAAGUCACUGAGUCAUGCCUCCAUCUCCUCCAGACCGAGUCGCCCAACUCCACACAUCACUUUGGAGCUGAAGAAGCCGAGGGAGAGGUUCUCUGCCUCUCCGUCAUCCUCAACCUCGCCGCCGGUCGUAGUGACGACGACCUUCGCCAUCUCCGUUUGAGUCAAGUGCAUCGCCGGGAACGCAAGCCACGUCGACAACGCCCUGGAGCACGCACCGGUGCGCCGCCGCUUCAACCAUCGUCGUCGUCCGGCCAUUCUCAUCCACCUCAGAGAAAGCCGCUGCGCCAUUGUCAUCGCCUCAACCUCCUCUUCAAAACACCUCAAGAACCCCAGCCGAAAACAUCAAGAACACGGAGAACACAUCCUUUUCUUCACCGGCGCCAAUCUAGGAUCGCCUCCGCCGUCAUCGUCGAUUACCGCUGCCUCGCUCAUUGUCCCGUUCGAGCCGUCGUCGUUCACCCGAGGAGGAGCGCCGUCACCGAGCCGUUCCACAAGUCACCGCUGCCGCCAAGACCUCGACAACCCUAGCUCGACCCACGAUAAUUGCAUAAUCGGUGAAGAAGUGGAUUAGGUGCUAACAAUUCUCUGAUCAAGGCA